ensembl:lncRNA
GGGGGUGGAGCGAGUGAGGAGCUCUGCCUUGGGAAUGCUGUGGGAAGUUGCGUUUCACUUUGCCUAGGUGUAUUCGACCGUACUAACCAAAAAAUGGUACUUUCCAGGGAGACCAAGGAAGAUGUUGCAACCAGCAGUGUCCGUCACCUGGAGGAAGCUGUGGCAGAGGUUAACAGAUGAGAUGUUUCUUGGUCAUGACUUCUGAAGACUUACAGCCUCCCUGAGCUCCCAAGAUCCACAGAUGCCCUCUUACCUUGUCUUUUAUCCUUUCAUGGAAGCAUCUAAAGGAAAACUGGAAACUGCAGUGAUACAUGAACAAUUCACAGCUUUCCCAGCAGGAAGAUUUGCCCCUUUACAUUGGAAGACCUCUGGCUGUGGUGUUUGCAUUUCAGAGCCAUUCCACCUGGUUUUGAUAAUCUGGGUGAAAUUGAUCAGUGAGUAACACGACUUUAAUAAAAGUAAGAUUGCAUGUAGUCGGGAAUUAUUGAAUAAGUGAAUUUUCAGUUCAAUUUGAACAAAAUCUAUGGCUAAUAGUACCCAGGAAUUAACAGACUAUUAAUUCAACACUCAUCAGCAUUUAUAUGCUAGCAGAUGAAAAUGUUUCACAUAUGAACUAGAUGUUGUUCUGUUCAGAAAUAGAUGUUUAAUAUUUUUGCAGUAGAAUAUAGAUUAACUUCAUGUUGAGCCAGGGCACUGACUGGGAGAACUGUGCUGUGUUAUAACAUGAUCUUUCCCAAAAGUUGCUGUUCCCACUGGGAACACAUUUUUGUGUACAAGGCCAUCCUACCACCUUCUCAGUUAUCAUCAAAGGAAAUAGGGUCAAAUAUUUCCAUCCUCUGUUCAAAGUACCUUUCAGAGAGUAUUUUGAUCAGAUCCUGCAGAGACUGAACAACUUGAUUAAUUCUGACCAUUACGUAUGAGCAGAGAAGUUAAUUUGAGGCCUGCCUAUUUGGCAUGAAAGAAGAAAUGUAACAAUACAUGUAAAUGUUUAAUUUCCUUGUGGACUAAUCCAGUUAGGUCAUAUUGGCAUCUUCUCAUUCUUAAAGAGGAGCCUGGCUCAGUUACCUGAGUGCUCAAUCAGAAUAAUUGUUCUGAAAUGAGGAUCAGAGGCUUUUGUUUUUCAUUAUUUCAUUUAAUUUUGUUUUUCAUUUUCUAAGUCAUACAUGCUGUAGCAGCUGUAAGAAAUUGGGUUUGAAUCCUACCAAUGUUUGGAAUAUUUUUUCUCCAUCUCUGCUGUUUAUGCAGUACUAAAUCUUUUGACCAAUGUUCCUCAGAAGAUGAGAGAAGAGAAGAAUGGGACAGAAGAUCACAUUCAAGAAGGUGGACUAUCCUGUGUCCAAGCUCUGAGACAGAAGAAAUAGGAAAACACUGCUGUAAAGAACCAGAAAAACAGCAUCGUUUUUGUGAGAAAUCUCAGCCAUUUCGCUUUUACUGGACUCAUGAAAUCUCUCUGUAAUUAAGUGACAAGCUUGUAGUGUUCCCAUACCCAUCUCUGUAGGAAUUCCUUGCAUUAAUUUGCAGAGGCACAGCUUAAGCUGGCCAAUAGUAGGAGACCAUCCUUGGUUUAUUUUUCCUUGGGAACUUCUACACUACACAAGCUUUCUAUUUGACCUUUGCAUUUUCUUCUGAGGACAAGGGGUUGAAGUCUGCAGGAUAAUUAGAAGUACCCAACAUGGCUCUGGAGAAAACCUACACUGCUUUUGAGCACCAGGAGUAGUAAACAUCUGGGGAUCAUUUGAAAUUGUAGCUGCUCACUUGCUAUGGAAGACAUGAAAGAAGCAGUUAAUGUUUCUUUUCUGGGCUGGGAAUUGAUCUUUAUCACCACGUUCCCUAACCUGUAUUAAUAACAAUCACCAGGGACAGGAGAAGCAUGCAGACUUUAAAAAGCAGCAGUAGUUGCCCUAGGUCAUGGAAGUAAAGGAGGAAUUUGGAUCUGAAUUUUUCUUGUUUUCUAUCCAGACGUAUGAACCUCUUUUGUUGGAAGUAAUUUUUGUGUGAAAUUUGACUGCAGCUUCUGAGGAUACAUAAAAAUAAGUCAAGUUAACAAGAAGAAGAAAAUAAAAAUCCCUCCUGUAAGGCCUGAGAAAGUGAUUUCUACCCUAUACUUAAAAGAACCAUAAUUUUUUUUUCUGGAUUUUUUGCCAGGCCUUUCAAUUUUUAAUUUAAGGUAGAAGUAAAUGAGAAGGUAGUUCUUUCUUCCUAUAACAUUUGUUCUAAUAUUUCCUAUAACCUUUGUUGAAUUACUGCCUUUACCAUGGGGCAAGUUGUUUCAGGAGCUGUUCCAUCUGCCACUCAGAAUAUUCCACUCCCAUCAGUAGAAUGAAGCCUUUCUAGCUUUUUCUUUUAAUGCAGAGCGACAAGAUUGAAGGGAAUGGGAAUUUUUUUAAGGGUGUAUAUGAAAAUUAAGGUUCAUGUUGUGAAAUUAUUACUGAGAGAAGCAUGAGGUGCUGCUUUUGCUGAUGUAGUGGAAUAAUGCAAGUACCAGUUUAAAAUUUUACAAAUUCCUCUAGCUGGAACAGGAACUAAAACACUGCCACCUCAACAACCUAGCACUCCCCACAGGUCUCUAUGCACCUUGGAGAUGUUGGCUUAGAAGGAUUUUACUUUUCUUAACUUUGGGAAAGUAGGAAUGCACAGAUAUAAAAAGCAAUACAAGAUAUUCAUUAUGAGGGAGAUUUUCUAAACUUUCCUUGACUAUUUUAAUAUUAACUUUUUCUGCACAACUAUGGCAAGGCAGAUUUCCAAAGCAGCAUACUUGAGUCCUGUUGCUAUUAGAUAUUA